AGCGAACGCUGGCGGCAGGCUUAACACAUGCAAGUCGAACGCAUCACUUCGGUGGUGAGUGGCAGACGGGUGAGUAACACGUGGGAACGUACCCUUCGAUCUGGGAUAACUUCGGGAAACUGGAGCUAAUACCGGAUACGCCCUUUUGGGGAAAGGUUUACUGUCGAAGGAUCGGCUCGCGUCUGAUUAGCUAGUUGGUGGGGUAACGGCCUACCAAGGCGACGAUCAGUAGCUGGUCUGAGAGGAUGAUCAGCCACACUGGGGCUGAGACACGGCCCAGACUCCUCCGGGAGGCAGCAGUGGGGAAUAUUGGACCAUGGGCGCAAGCCUGAUCCAGCCAUGCCGGGUGAGUGAUGAAGGCCUUAGGGUUGUAAAGCUCUUUUGUCCGGGACGAUAAUGACGGUACCGGAAGAAUAAGCCCCGGCUAACUUCGUG
rnacentral:rRNA from 1 species